rnacentral:lncRNA from 1 species
CUGCUGCCACCUGUCCCCAACAAGUCCUGGGGACACCUGAGGAUGUGGAUGUCCUUGCUGUGUUUGGGACAUGCUCAGCCCUCCCCUUGCAGGGACCCCCAUGGCUCCAGUUGCCUCAGAGCCCCCUGGUCACACGGUGACAGCUCCAGCGAUGUCCUCAGGAAUGGGGACAGGGAAGGUUCCUGCUCAUCCCCACUCUGAGGACCCCAUCAUGAACUUCACCUUGAGGCUCCUGGAUGAGGACUCCAGUGCCACUCCAGAGAAGCUGCCAGUGCUCAGUCCCAGCUCUGUGAUCCACCUGGAAGCCAGUGUCCACUUCAGUCCCAGCAUCUCCAUGAAGAUCCACGUGGAUCAGUGCUACAGGACCACCACGGAGCAGCCAGGACACUCCAGGAGGGUCUCCAUGGUGGUGAACAGCCAUGGGUCAGUGCUGGUGGGACAGGAAGUAGGGUCAGGGUAGCUGGAGUAGGUGGCAUCACCUUCUGCAGCUACCCUGGGGUCCUGUAGGACCUCCUGCUGGAAAGGGAUGUCCAGAGUCUGGAGGCAGCUCUGGAAUGUCCUUUGUCACUCUCCUACCAUAGAUGCCUGCAUGGGGAGAAGCUGGGGAAUGUGUCUGUCCAGCACCAGAGAGGGGAAUCUGUCCUCCAGCUCUCCAUCCUGGCCCCCACACUGGAGGGUGAGGCUGAGGAAGAGCAGGUGAGGC